ensembl:lncRNA
AAGGUCAGAACCAUGUGCAGCUCAGGGGUGAGCCCAGGAGUCCUGUACGACUUUAUGAAAUUUCUCUCCCAAUCUCCCUUCUCUUUGUGAUCCCACUGGCAUUUUCUGACUCCUUAGGGCCCCCUUCCUAGUCCUCUAGCCAAGAAGUCAAAGCUUUAGUUUUUCCCCCUCUGUCUUGCACUUCCUGCAAUUGCAUCUGUGUCCAGGGUGGUGUUGCAAGAGGACAGAGAGAUAAAAAACAACGAUUUGCUCAUCCUUUGGGGACCACUUCUCUGGCCAGAGAGAACUCCCCUCCUCAGAGUUUUAGGGGACCCGCCCUGCUCCUGACACCACUGCCACUGUACUGCUUGAAGACUCUGGUGUUUUGCUCUGCCAGGUUCUUGUCCCCCUUCUCCAGUCUGCCUGCUACCAUUUGCUUUCCAAAGUUCUCAAGAGUCCUGCUCCCUGCAUUCUGUCCAGGGUUUGCAGUUGCACUGAGUGAUGAGACAGUGACAUUUCUUAUUCUAUUUUAUCUGGAAUCUCAAAAUAAUCUGUAUAGGCUGUGGCUCUCCUGAGGGUGCCAGGCAGGCUGCCCCUUGCUUUCAGUGUAUUCACUUAGUUGUUCAACCCGACUGUGUAUCUUUUGGGGGUGGGGAGAUAGAGAAGUUUCUGAACCUACAGCCCUGCGAGAAGUUUACCAGUUAGUGUACAUCGUUUGUUUACAGAUCUUUUAUUCUUUAACCCGACAAUAUCAAGUCAAAAACAUGUUUUUCAAAGCUACUAGGUUCACCUCUUUCCAUUCAUGUAUGCACCUUUCAUUUGAAGCAUAGGCAGAUUCAUUAGGUAAGACCAUGUGUUAAAGGUCGGGUUUCACUUUUUUAAGAUACCUGCAAUUGCAGCACACUCUAACGUGAUUGUCUUUGGUCUGUUUUCUGGGUCUGAACACAUGCAGAGUGGUGCUUUAAUGUCCGUUGUCUCUUCCAGUUACCACCCUGCCUCACUUUGAUUUCACUCAGCAGUGCUGCUGUCCAUUCUCAGGGCAGCACUGUGGUACAUACUGGCAUGUAAACAGUAUUCUAGGACUUAAUUGGUGAUUGUGCUGUGACGUUUGACUUAUAUGUGUAUGCUAACAGAAAAGGACAAGGCUUCUUAAAACUUCCUGUGACAUCAUUGUAUUUCAGAGUUCAAAUGCAGAUAUGGUGAUGUGCUGUUGGAAGCCAAAUUGUUGCUAUAUCUUGUCCCUCCCUUUCAUCUUACUGGAUUGUCUGUGAUGAACCAUGAUUUCUGGUCUUUUGUUGAAUGGUGUUAACCAAUAUUUAUGGAAGAAAGGGGUCAAGGAUUUAGCUGUUUUCCCCCCUUUUUACAUGUAUCCUCUAGGCCAGUGGCAGUAAAGAUUAAAGAAUGUCAUUCUUUCCCUGCACCAGGAAGGGGUGAGCUAAACAGGCUCUUUUUAGAAUUAAAGCCCACCUCUGUCUGGAUUCAUGCUUUUCAUUAAAGAAGUAAAGCGUCCUUUAUCCGUGUAGAUUAAAAUGUUGUCAAGAACCCAGGCCGGAAACACAGCCGGCGAACUAAAGUGCUCUCUGGCUUCUCUCAGCUUGAGAUCACUUUUAGAAUUUGACAGUACUGUGUUGUGAGGCUCAAAACUAUCUUGGCAGCACCAGAAUUCAGAGUGGCAUGCAGGCUCUCCUUGUGAGGUGACCAUGGCUACCUUUGCAGAAGGGAUUUGUUUUGUUAGGAAAGGUUGAGGCUUGAUUAUUGAGUGCUGAUAACAGUGGUGCUGGGAGGUGGCCAUUGUGAUCCAGAAUGCUGACAUUCUUUUAUGCACUAUUUAUAUUUGAUCCUCAUGAUAGAAAUAAUCCUAAGUGGUAAAUCAUUAGUGUCAAAGUCACUAAAAUGAUUUAGAAUAUCCCUGGGGAGAUUUAAAAGGAGUAAAUAUCUAAUAGCUGGUAUUAGAAUAAUGUAUGGUGCAAAUUGCUUAACAGUGAAGACAGAUUUGAAUAGGGGCACUUCCCCUUUGAUGGAAGUCAUAAGCGGCAAUAUGGGUGGAAGGUUAGAUUUCUCCGAAACUGACCUUGUCCUUUUUCUUCCUAGUAAAGAGAAGUGAUGGCUACAGUCUUUGUUUUUAGGGAAUUAUCUUUUUAGGGAAAGGACAGUACACAGAGAAACAUAAAAUUCAUUCCAUAAAGACGUGGCUCGGAUCCCGUGUUGCUGUGGCUCUGGUGUAGGCCGGGUGGCAGCAGCUCCGAUCCGACCCCUAGCCUGGGAACCUCCAUAUGCCGCGGGAGCGGCCCCAGAAAUGGCAAAAAGACAAAAAAAAAAAAAAUUAGUAAAAAUACAAUUUUUAAUAUUAGUACAUAUUAGUAUUUUAAUAUUAGUAAAAAUAUUAUUUUUAAGAACAUUAAAAUAACCCUGCUUUGCCUGUUAUCCAGGCCAUUUGUGGAACAUUUAAUUUUUUCUUUCAGACUCUCAAACUAAAGAAAGAAAGCUGGAGAGGAUCCAGAAAAGAGCAAUAGCAGAAACCAACAACGAGCUAUAAAAAAUAAGGCCCAUGAGGAAGGGGUGAAUCCAUGGAGGAGUUGUGAAUCUUUCGUUUGAAGUGAAGUUCAAGAGGCCACUUAAUACGUCUUCGCGUAUGUUAAGGGUUGUCAGGAGAAGGAUACUGAGCAGUUGUUUCCUUUCUCACUAAGAACUGAAGAAAGGGAAAUGGUUGCACAGGGACAUAGGUUAGAUAAAAAGAAUUCCUUCUUGCAGAAGGGAGCAAGGCACGAAAUCUAUAGUCUGAUUAGCUGGCCCACACAUCCUUGACUGGACUAGAUGCCCUGGACUAGACAGACUGUUUGGCUGUGUUCUUUGGAGGUCGGCUACACACCUUCACUGAACAUUGAUGAUCUUAAAAUCUUAGCCGCGGAAGUAGCACUUUAGACCCUUGUACCAUCUAGUCUUUCUUGAUCCUUUCAUGCCUGUCUCUCUUCCUUAUUACAAGGCCCUCUGCUCCAAAUUACAAGGUAGUACAGAGCACAGAGUGAUUUCUUAUAGCCCCUAAAAAGAGACUCUUAGACCUGAACAGGUAGCAAAUUACGGAGGCAGACUCCCCCUCCUCGGUGUUUUUCAUCUGUACUUGGAAUCACUAUCUCCAACAGUAGUCAGUUACAUUUAAAAGUAGAAACUCUUCCUGGGCACACACACCUUCAUAGUUGUUCAUGGGAAGAGUCUCCAAAUAAGAUUUUGUGCCACAAUGACACUUUAGCUAACUGGUUAAAUAACUGUGUUUCCUAUCACUAAAUAUGGGGAAGAUUCUUU